rnacentral:lncRNA from 1 species
UUGCCUAUGAGACUGGAGGAAGAGUAGCACAAGGUCAAUUGAAAUAGACAAGUAGCGUAAGUAGAGUUACGAACCUUCUAAACAUAGCUUCCUUCUCGUCACAGAAUUUAAGACCCCUUUCCAGAUCAUCAGGGAAAAGGGCAGCAGCAAUGUCGUCAUUGUGUUUGCCAGCAAUAGUUUUGACAAACCAGUCCUCAUCAACCAGCACACCACCAUUGUAGCCUAUCUGCAGAACCAAAAUCGCCAGUGAUGAGCUUAAAAUUACUUAAUAUUUAUGUUUGCUUUGUGUCUUUGAUUUGGUUGAUUCGAUAGAGAUUUGGUCUGAUUUGGGUCUAAUAUGUUGCCCUUCAGUGCAGGUGGUGGUGCACAGGGGAUCAAUAGACGAAUAGUGCACUAAGUGGGAGGAAAACAAGUUGAGCAAGAAGAAAUUCUCGUGCGCGGGCAACCCCCAAACGCGCACCUGAGCGCGCAAGUGCCACAGAAGUCUGCCAGAGGUGCGCGACCAUGAGCGCGGUCAUACUCCCAGGUGCGCAUCCGCGCACGUCCGUCUCCGAGAAUUCUAGUCAGGCCUAUUUUUGUAAAUUUGGAGGCAGCCUUUUGACCUAUAUGAAGCCUAG